CCCCCAUCUUUUACGACAGAAACCAGAAAGAAAAAGAGAGGAAGAGAGAGAGAAAGAGAAAGAGAAAGAAAGAAGGAAAGAAAGAAAGGGAGAUCCGUUCAAACCGUCGACAUUUUGGAGAAACCUCAAGUUGAGAAAAAUGCUAGGGGGAUUGAGAUGAAGCUGCUGCAAAAAUUUGGUGACCAUCGGAGAAGUUGACCGCCGAGUGAACAGUACCGCGCGUGAACAGUGGACGACGUACCGAGCUAUUGCUCGAUGACGGAACACGAAUGCGUGAUCGUCGGAAUAGUAC